UUGACCUCAANUCGGGUGAGACUACCCGCUGAACUUAAGCAUAUCAAUAAGCGGAGGAAAAGAAACUAACAAGGAUNCCCUAGUAACUGCGAGUGAAGCGG
rnacentral:rRNA from 1 species